CUUCCCAUCUCCUUCCUGGAAGACAGAAGCCUUGUGCGAGCCCCUUGUGUGAUGUCACCCCAGCUAGGGCCACCGGACGUUGGUCCUCAGCAGGGAGACUUUGGGUCCUCCACCAGGACCCAGGGCUGACCUGCAUGGCCAGGCCCCAUGGCCUGGGUAGAACCUUGUUUCUGCUCCAGGAAAAAACGAUCAACGAACCUUCAUUUAAGAAAAAGCACAGCGUUCUCAUGGGAACCAAGAAGACAAGCCCUUAAUGCAAAGUGUAUUCAGAGAGAAGAAAACAAGAAAAGCAGAGACGAUUGGAUUACAGCAAUUGCUCUUAUAACUCCUCUCCGCCCACCCCCUCGAUGAGAAGCUGGUUUGAAGGACUGAGUAUCAAAUCCCUACUGAGCUCUGAGGUUCCAGGUGUGGAUGGAGUGUGGGGCCCAUGUGUGUGUCAGUGUGUGUGGGUGUGAUUGUGUGAGCAACUGGGUGUGUGAGGUUCAGGCCCAGUCGGCUUGUCCAGACGCCAGGCCUGAGAUGCCCUGGGGGUGCUAAGAGGGGUAGAGAGAAGCCAAAGGAACACAGGCUUUG
rnacentral:lncRNA from 10 species